rnacentral:lncRNA from 1 species
UCAUAUUUUGCAUACCAUAUUUAAUAAUAUAACACUAUUAUGAAAUUCAUUAACCCAUCCUGUUUUUCUCUAUUUUUUAGUUUUUUUUUUUAGAAUAAAAUAAACUUAGCUAGAAAUGUGAAUCAACUAGGAUUCGAACUUAGGUCUCGGAUACAAACCAUCAAGUUUUUUGCCGUUUGCUCUAAGGACGGUCGGUUUUAUUUUCUAGUUCUUAGUUUACGUUUUCUUG